CACGCAAAUCUACAGCCUUACAAUGCCAACCUCAGAAAAAAGGGAGGGAAUUACAUUAUAUUCAUACGCUUCCUCAUCCAUGACUUCUUGUUUUCCUGCUUUGUCUUCUUGUUCUUCUUUCUCAUCUUCUUCGCCAUCAUUAUGAACAA
rnacentral:ribozyme from 15 species